GUCGCUCAAUUCAGUCUGACCCAUUGGAUGGUUUGGCGUGUCACCGUUCUCAUUGCUCUUGCGGGAUGAGUUGUACACUGAAUCAGGCAUCAAAGAGCAAUGCUUGCCUUCAAAGUGAGUUGAACAGGGAAAAUACUCGGCGCAGCGUGAUUUCCAUCCUGCGAUUGUACCAAUAAGACAGCUUAAUCAUUUUCCAGAAACUUACUAACUGAGACCAACCGAACACAAUAAAUGGAAAGGCACACGCAGAGAAGUCAUAUUGGUGAAGAGAACUACUACUUAAUGGAAACAGCACAGUGAAGAUAUUUAAUGCUUACUGGAGGCAGCUUGUGAGUCGAGAAGAACUGUGUCUAGGAGCGUAUGAACAGCUAUACAGUCUUUUAGUUUCCAUUCUCUUGCUUGUCCUAGAGCUUCAUUUCUACAUUUAGACAACCAAACGUUAA